UGACACUGAAUUUGGGCAACACCUAGAAC
rnacentral:piRNA from 1 species